CCUACGCUGGGCAGCAGUGAGGAAUAUUGGUCAAUGGUCGGGAGACUGAACCAGCCAAGCCGCGUGAGGGAGGAAGGCACAGAGUAUCGUAAACCUCUUUUGUCAGGGAACAAAGACUGGGACGCGUCCCCGGAUGAGUGUACCUGAAGAAAAAGCAUCGGCUAACUCCGUGCCAGCAGCCGCGGUAAUACGGGGGAUGCGAGCGUUAUCCGGAUUUAUUGGGUUUAAGGGGUGCGCAGGCGGUCUGUUAAGCCAGCGGUCAAAGCCCGGGGCUAAACCCCGCCCCGCCGUUGAAACUGGGGGCCUUGAGUGGGAGGGAAGUAUGCGGAAUGCGCGGUGUAGCGGUGAAAUGCAUAGAUAUCGCGCAGAACUCCGAUUGCGAAGGCAGCAUGCCGGCUCCACACUGACGCUGAGGCACGAAAGCGUGGGUAUCGAACAGGAUUAGAUACCCUUGUAGUC
rnacentral:rRNA from 1 species